UACGUAGGGUGCAAGCGUUAAUCGGAAUUACUGGGCGUAAAGCGUGCGCAGGCGGUUGUGCAAGACAGAUGUGAAAUCCCCGGGCUUAACCUGGGAAUUGCAUUUGUGACUGUACGGCUAGAGUGUGUCAGAGGGGGGUAGAAUUCCACGUGUAGCAGUGAAAUGCGUAGAGAUGUGGAGGAAUACCGAUGGCGAAGGCAGCCCCCCUGGGCUAGCACUGACGCUCAGGCACGAAAGCGUGGGGAGCAAACAGG
rnacentral:rRNA from 1 species